rnacentral:rRNA from 1 species
AAAUUGAAGAGUUUGAUCAUGGCUCAGAUUGAACGCUGGCGGCAGGCCUAACACAUGCAAGUCGAACGGUAACAGGAAGCAGCUUGCUGCUUUGCUGACGAGUGGCGGACGGGUGAGUAAUGUCUGGGAAACUGCCUGAUGGAGGGGGAUAACUACUGGAAACGGUGGCUAAUACCGCAUAAUGUCGCAAGACCAAAGAGGGGGACCUUCGGGCCUCUUGCCAUCAGAUGUGCCCAGAUGGGAUUAGCUUGUUGGUGAGGUAACGGCUCACCAAGGCGACGAUCCCUAGCUGGUCUGAGAGGAUGACCAGCCACACUGGAACUGAGACACGGUCCAGACUCCUACGGGAGGCAGCAGUGGGGAAUAUUGCACAAUGGGCGCAAGCCUGAUGCAGCCAUGCCGCGUGUAUGAAGAAGGCCUUCGGGUUGUAAAGUACUUUCAGCGGGGAGGAAGGUGUUGUGGUUAAUAACCGCAGCAAUUGACGUUACCCGCAGAAGAAGCACCGGCUAACUCCGUGCCAGCAGCCGCGGUAAUACGGAGGGUGCAAGCGUUAAUCGGAAUUACUGGGCGUAAAGCGCACGCAGGCGGUCUGUCAAGUCGGAUGUGAAAUCCCCGGGCUCAACCUGGGAACUGCAUUCGAAACUGGCAGGCUUGAGUCUUGUAGAGGGGGGUAGAAUUCCAGGUGUAGCGGUGAAAUGCGUAGAGAUCUGGAGGAAUACCGGUGGCGAAGGCGGCCCCCUGGACAAAGACUGACGCUCAGGUGCGAAAGCGUGGGGAGCAAACAGGAUUAGAUACCCUGGUAGUCCACGCCGUAAACGAUGUCUACUUGGAGGUUGUGCCCUUGAGGCGUGGCUUCCGGAGCUAACGCGUUAAGUAGACCGCCUGGGGAGUACGGCCGCAAGGUUAAAACUCAAAUGAAUUGACGGGGGCCCGCACAAGCGGUGGAGCAUGUGGUUUAAUUCGAUGCAACGCGAAGAACCUUACCUGGUCUUGACAUCCACAGAACUUUCCAGAGAUGGAUUGGUGCCUUCGGGAACUGUGAGACAGGUGCUGCAUGGCUGUCGUCAGCUCGUGUUGUGAAAUGUUGGGUUAAGUCCCGCAACGAGCGCAACCCUUAUCCUUUGUUGCCAGCGGUCCGGCCGGGAACUCAAAGGAGACUGCCAGUGAUAAACUGGAGGAAGGUGGGGAUGACGUCAAGUCAUCAUGGCCCUUACGACCAGGGCUACACACGUGCUACAAUGGCGCAUACAAAGAGAAGCGACCUCGCGAGAGCAAGCGGACCUCAUAAAGUGCGUCGUAGUCCGGAUUGGAGUCUGCAACUCGACUCCAUGAAGUCGGAAUCGCUAGUAAUCGUGGAUCAGAAUGCCACGGUGAAUACGUUCCCGGGCCUUGUACACACCGCCCGUCACACCAUGGGAGUGGGUUGCAAAAGAAGUAGGUAGCUUAACCUUCGGGAGGGCGCUUACCACUUUGUGAUUCAUGACUGGGGUGAAGUCGUAACAAGGUAACCGUAGGGGAACCUGCGGUUGGAUCACCUCCUUACCUUAAAGACGC